rnacentral:lncRNA from 1 species
GUUUGUUUGAUUUAGAUGUUUGUUAUUUGCAUCAUAUACAUCACAUAACAAGUUCACCCUUUAAUAUUUCUGCUCUAACAAUAUCACAUUGAUCAUAUAUGCCCAUAUCAAGAAAGCAUCUCUGAUUUUGCGUGAUUCUAUGCUGUAUUUUGAUUUAUGUGUUGUUUAUCAGUUCUGCGUGAUUAAUCAAAAGGUUAGACUCAAGG